rnacentral:rRNA from 1 species
UACGUAGGGGGCGAGCGUUGUCCGGAUUCAUUGGGCGUAAAGAGCUCGUAGGCGGCUUGGCAAGUCGGGUGUGAAAACUUCAGGCUCAACCUGGAGCGGCCACUCGAUACUGCCAUGGCUUGAGUCCGGUAGGGGACCACGGAAUUCCUGGUGUAGCGGUGAAAUGCGCAGAUAUCAGGAGGAACACCGGUGGCGAAGGCGGUGGUCUGGGCCGGAACUGACGCUGAGGAGCGAAAGCGUGGGGAGCGAACAGG